GGGUAAAGGAGCGCAGCGGGGAAGACAAGUGGAAAGGGAAUGCAAGGGCUCAACCCAUGAACUGCGGUCAAAACGGUGUUUCCCGAGUAGUGCAGAGGUAGGCGGAAUUCCCGGUGUAACGGUGGAAUGCGUAGAAAUCGGGAGGAACACCAGUGGCGAAGGCGGCCUACUGGGCACCAACGGACGCUGAGGCUCGAAAGUGUGGGUAGCAAACAGGAUUAGAUACCCUGGUUGUCCACACCGUAAACGAUGAUUACUAGGUGUUGGAGGAUUGACCCCUUCAGUGCCGCAGUUUACACAAUAAGUUAUCCACCUGGGGAGUACGACCGCAAGGUUGAAACUCAAAGGAAUUGACGGGGGCCCGCACAAGCAGUGGAGUAUGUGGUUUAAUUCGACGCAACGCGAAGAACCUUACCAAGUCUUGACAUCCUGCGACGGUGCUGGAAACAGUACUUUCCUUCGGGACGCAGAGACAGGUGGUGCAUGGUNGUCGUCAGCUCGUGUCGUGAGAUGUUGGGUUAAGUCCCGCAACGAGCGCAACCCUUAUGGUCAGNUACUUACGCAAGAGGACUCUGGCCAGACUGCCGUUGACAAAACGGAGGAAGGUGGGGAUGACGUCAAAUCAUCAUGCCCUUUAUGACUUGGGCUACACACGUACUACAAUGGCGUUAAACAAAGAGAAGCAAGACCGCGAGGUGGAGCAAAACUCAGAAACAACGUCCCAGUUCGGACUGCAGGCUGCAACUCGCCUGCACGAAGUCGGAAUUGCUAGUAAUCGUGGAUCAGCAUGCCACGGUGAAUACGUUCCCGGGCAUUGUACACACCGCCCGUCACACCAUGAGAGCCGGGGGGGCCCGAAGUCGGUAGUCUAACCGCAAGGAGGACGCCGCCGAAGGUAAUAUAGGGAUUGGGGGAAGUCGUAACAAGGUAGCCGUUUCAAACCUGCGGUUA
rnacentral:rRNA from 1 species